AGAGGAAUCCGGGCGGCACGCGUCGCAGGCAGCGGAAAUCUUUGCCCUUGUUUGAGUUGCGCAGGUCUUUUCCUGCUGCAUUUACGAAGCCCAACAUUCUGAACCGGCCCCGGGCCCAGGAGCGCUUCGCCCACCAUGCGGUAGCUCCGGCGAGGAUACCGUACAGUACGUCCAGAUUAUUAGGACGGAAAUACUCUAUUACUCAGCUCGGUGAAGAGACCGCUUCUGCUGGCGGCUUUGCCGACCUGGUGUUAGCCCGG
rnacentral:lncRNA from 1 species